rnacentral:rRNA from 1 species
GACGAACCGAGCGAACGUUAUUCGGAAUCACUGGGCUUAAAGGGCGCGUAGGCGGGCGGCCAAGUCAGGGGUGAAAGCCCCCAGCUCAACUGGGGAAGUGCCUCUGAUACUGGUCAUCUUGAGGGAGGUAGGGGCGUGCGGAACUUCCGGUGGAGCGGUGAAAUGCGUAGAUAUCGGAAGGAACACCGGUGGCGAAAGCGGCGCGCUGGACCUCUUCUGACGCUGAGGAGCGAAAGCGUGGGGAGCGAACAGG